GAAGUAUGUUACACGAGGUAAAGCUUCUAACUUAGACCCCUAGCGGUGAAACUCCGUUAAUACUUCU
rnacentral:tRNA from 1 species